AAAACUCCGAGAAGUGCCGAACCCCUUCUCAAGCUUGCAACUUGCAUGUCCAGGCAUUGGAGAAGCAGAAGGGUUUCUCUCUCGCUCCAUUUGCUACAAUGAGAGCCAAGUGGAAGAAAAAGCGAAUGAGGAGGUUGAAGAGAAAACGUCGAAAGAUGAGGCAAAGAUCCAAGUAGUUGCAGUUUUAGCUCGCCAAGGCAUUAAUUAAUCUUCGCUGCUACUUCCAUCGUGAACCAUUUUGUAUUAUGUUGAAUCACUUGAUGAUGUUUCGGAAAUUAAUGGGUUUUUUCUUUUCUUUU